AGCGGGAGGCCUAACACAUGCAAGCUGAGCGGUAGAGAUCUUUCGGGAUCUUGAGAGCGGCGUACGGGUGCGGAACACGUGUGCAACCUGCCUUUAUCAGGGGGAUAGCCUUUCGAAAGGAAGAUUAAUACUCCAUAAUAUAAUUUACGGCAUCGUGGAUUAUUGAAAACUCCGGUGGAUAGAGAUGGGCACGCGCAAGAUUAGAUAGUUGGUGAGGUAACGGCUCACCAAGUCGAUGAUCUUUAGGGGGCCUGAGAGGGUGAUCCCCCACACUGGUACUGAGACACGGACCAGACUCCUACGGGAGGCAGCAGUGAGGAAUAUUGGACAAUGGGUUAGCGCCUGAUCCAGCCAUCCCGCGUGAAGGACGACGGCCCUAUGGGUUGUAAACUUCUUUUGUACAGGGAUAAACCUAUCUACGUGUAGAUAGCUGAAGGUACUGUACGAAUAAGCACCGGCUAACUCCGUGCCAGCAGCCGCGGUAAUACGGAGGGUGCAAGCGUUAUCCGGAUUUAUUGGGUUUAAAGGGUCCGUAGGCGGAUGCGUAAGUCAGUGGUGAAAUCUCACAGCUCAACUGUGAAACUGCCAUUGAUACUGCGUGUCUUGAGUAAGGUAGAAGUGGCUGGAAUAAGUAGUGUAGCGGUGAAAUGCAUAGAUAUUACUUAGAACACCAAUUGCGAAGGCAGGUCACUAUGUCUUAACUGACGCUGAUGGACGAAAGCGUGGGGAGCGAACAGGAUUAGAUACCCUGGUAGUCCACGCCGUAAACGAUGCUAACUCGUUUUUGGGGCUUCGGCUUCAGAGACUAAGCGAAAGUGAUAAGUUAGCCACCUGGGGAGUAC
rnacentral:rRNA from 1 species